UACGAAGGGGGGCUAGCGUUGUUCGGAAUUACUGGGCGUAAAGCGCACGUAGGCGGAUCGAUCAGUCAGGGGGUGAAAUCCCAGAGCUCAACUCUGGAACUGCCUUUGAUACUGUCGAUCUAGAGUAUGGAAGAGGUGAGUGGAAUUCCGAGUGUAGAGGUGAAAUUCGUAGAUAUUCGGAGGAACACCAGUGGCGAAGGCGGCUCACUGGUCCAUUACUGACGCUGAGACGCGAAAGCGUGGGGAGCGAACAGG
rnacentral:rRNA from 1 species